rfam:Nicotiana attenuata strain TT chromosome 2, whole genome shotgun sequence.
AAGAGAAAAAUAUGUUAAUAUAGCCAAAGACGACUGCCUAUAAUUCAAAUUUCAAAAAUUGGCUGUCAUGCCACACUCUUUUGGACAAAAUGGUGUACAUAGGCAAGUCAUCCUUGGCUAAUAAACAAGAGUACUUUUCUCU